rnacentral:rRNA from 1 species
UACGUAGGGUGCAAGCGUUGUCCGGAAUUAUUGGGCGUAAAGAGCUCGUAGGCGGUUCGUCGCGUCGGCUGUGAAAAUCCGGGGCUCAACCCCGGACUUGCAGUGGGUACGGGCAGACUAGAGUGUGGUAGGGGAGACUGGAAUUCCUGGUGUAGCGGUGAAAUGCGCAGAUAUCAGGAGGAACACCGAUGGCGAAGGCAGGUCUCUGGGCCACUACUGACGCUGAGAAGCGAAAGCAUGGGGAGCGAACAGG